rnacentral:tRNA from 1 species
GUUAGCUCAGUUGGUAGAGCACCUGACUCUUAAUCAGGGUGCCCAGGGUUCGAACCCCUG